rnacentral:lncRNA from 1 species
AUUUGCCAUCUCUACUGACGAUCGGCGGGCAAUUUGUGAAGCCGUCAGGGCAUGCUUUGUCUGGAGCCCUAGGAGUUUUAGAUUCUCAAUAGUGGCUCGAGGCACUGCCCCUCUGCUCCCGAUUAUCACCAGAACUCUCCUCUCUUU